AGUGAACGCUGGCGGUAGGCCUAACACAUGCAAGUCGAACGGCAGCACAGUAAGAGCUUGCUCUUACGGGUGGCGAGUGGCGGACGGGUGAGGAAUACAUCGGAAUCUACUUUUUCGUGGGGGAUAACGUAGGGAAACUUACGCUAAUACCGCAUACGACCUACGGGUGAAAGCAGGGGAUCUUCGGACCUUGCGCGAUUGAAUGAGCCGAUGUCGGAUUAGCUAGUUGGCGGGGUAAAGGCCCACCAAGGCGACGAUCCGUAGCUGGUCUGAGAGGAUGAUCAGCCACACUGGAACUGAGACACGGUCCAGACUCCUACGGGAGGCAGCAGUGGGGAAUAUUGGACAAUAGGCGCAAGCCUGGUCCAGCCGUACCGCGUGGGUGAAGAAGGCCUUCGGGUUGUAAAGCCCUUUUGUUGGGUAAGAAAAGCAGCAGGUUAAUACCCCGCUGUUCUGACGGUACCCAAAGAAUAAGCACCGGCUAACUUCGUG
rnacentral:rRNA from 1 species